UUUUGUGCCUUAGUAAACAUUUGGGGUUUUGGGGGGAACAAAGUAUUUACACUGUCUCAUUCUCCUCGUUGGAAACCUUGGCCCCGUCCUCAGUGUCAGCGGCCUUGAACGGGGUUGCCAUGGUGCUUUUCAUCUGGCGCUGCCACUUCCACGCUCUGCCUUUAGCACGUUGCUUUGCCUCCCAGGGCUGCCACCCUUUAAACUGUAAGGUGAGGAGUCUGGAGUAGAUGAUCCAUCCCAGCUCUGCUGUUUUGCAAAUUUCUGAUUUCGUAUUCGGAUGAGGCUGGGAUACACCCAGAGCAGCAUAAACCAGGCCCUACCUCCUGUCUCUUGCUGGGGCAUCCCUCAGGUCUGUGCCUUCUACUCAAGCCUUUACUGAGCCCAGCUUUUGUCAGGAGCCCAAGUGCCUACCGGGAUGGCAGGAGACCUGUCUCUCCUGGUCACGGUGGCAGACAUUUCUAUUGGUUGUGCUGAAACAGCUCUUCUGAGAUCCUCCGGCCACCCUUGCUCCAACCUGAGGACAGACCUACCGUUCCUUUCCUAGGAGGAGGAUCAAUCCAUGGUGCAUUUUAUGACAAUCCUGUCCCCAGGAAUGCACGGAAGGUUAUCAGCUGAGUGAGGGGAAGUGCCUCUGUGUCUCUGUGUCCCUGUAUCUCUGUCUGCUCACAGUGCCCUGCCACCGGCUACUGAACAAGAAAAGUGCUAUUCACCAUGCUGUGUCUUUUGCAGAUGUGUUCCCAGUGGCCUGAGCCAUGCACCAGAUUUGAUGUAGGAACUGUUCCACCAAAAGAAAUCCCUUUGCCAUAAUAUCUUUUGAGGAAAAUAUUAUUCUUUAAGGCUCUAACAGUAAAUCGUAGAACAAAGCAUGGAACAUUUAUUGUAGUUAAUACAUGUUCAUGCAAAAAGAAAUGAUAUUUUCAUUAAACAAUGUUGAUUUUAAUAACUUUUACUAAUGUGAAUAUUAUUACUCAUAAUUUAAGUAACCAAAUAAAACCACAGUUAUUUAUUAUGAAGUUUGAAAACUAUUUACACUGUCUCUCAAUUAGAGGUAGCUUUAUUAGAAGACUGAAGGGUAUUUAAAAGAUGGAAAACUACCCAUGAUGACACCAUCAUUUUUAUUAACUAAAUAUCAAGAACUGUGCAGGGUUAAGAUUGAACCCUCUGCAAGCUCUCAAGUUAGCAUGAGGUAGUUUGUGGAUGCUGCCAGAAGACAGGAGACUCCCCCAGGUUCAGAGACAAAGAACUUCUUGCCAGCACAGCAGGCAGCUUGGGGUUCAUGUUCAUGUUGGUUCCUGAGUUUCUUUCCUUUUGCUGUUCUAACAAAGGACCACAGACUCAGUGGCUUAAAGCAAUACACAUUCAUCAUCUCACUGUUCUUUUGUGCAGAAGUGCAAAGUCAUUGUCAGUGGGCUUAAACCAACGUGUGGCCAAGGCUACGUUCCACACCGAGGCUCUAGGGAGGGAUUCGUCUUCCUACCUUUCCCAGCUUGCAGAGGUGUUCACACUCCUUGGCCCAGGGCCCUGUGUCACUGUGACCUCUGCUGCCACUUUACAUCUCUGUCUCUGACUAUAUAGAUAUAAAGGAAGAGUCUUCGACAUCUGGUAUGGACCCUUUUUCCUAAAUGGACAUUGUAUCUCUAUUUAUGUGCAGAUUAAAACCCCUUCCCUCCAGGGUGUGGUGGCAUCAGCUCACAAGAUUACCACUCUGGGCUUUAAGUGUCCUCUUUGUAUUGACACCUGGGAACUUCUCUUUCCAUAGUUAGCUCUGUGUUACAUUUGUUGUUGUAUUUUACCCGGCAUUACUGAAAGUUUUACUUAAAAUGGAUCCUAAUUAGCUCUGUUUACCUGUUUCCAGAGCUGAAGGCUUCAGUUCUAGAUUAUCUGUUUGAUUUCUCUUAAAAAUACAUUCCAGUAUAUUUCUCUGGUGAAAGUCUUUACCCUGUUGUCUAUUCUCCCAUAAUUUCCUUAUUUUCUUGAAUAUAUUAAAAGUAUUUUAUAGCCUUUAUUGGUAACUCUGAUGCCUACAUCACCUGGGGGUUUGCAUCCUUUGUCUAAUGUUUCUUAUUCUCAUAUUAUCCGUUAUAUAGUCUUGACAUGUUGCAUGUCUUGAAAUUCUUUAUUACAUGGCAGACAUUGCAAAUGAAAAAUCCAUAUGUUAUUUUCCGUGAGAGGUUUUCUACCUUCCUGUUAGGCAAACAGGGUGAGGGACUGAUCAUGUCGCUCCAAUCAGGCGCUGAGGUGGAUCAGGACUGAAGUGCCUUUUUUCUUAAAACAGCUUUGAGGUAUACUUGGCAAAGUAAUUUUCACACGUAUAAAGUGUACAGCUAAUACGUUUUGACAUAAGUAUAUCCCCAAGAAACCAUGACCACAUUCAAGAGAGUGAACAUACCCAUCACCCACAAAGCUUCUCUCCUGCCAUUUGUUGUCCCUCCCUCCCUCCCCAUCUCUUCCCCUGGAAACCAUUGAUCUGCUUUCCAUCACAACAUAUUGGUCUGCAUUUUCAAGAUCCUUGUAUGAAUGGAUUAAUGCAGUAUCUA